rnacentral:misc_RNA from 1 species
UGAGGACCAGUUUGCUUGGUAACAAGUAUCUGGCCAAGCAUCUUUCCAGCUGUCUCUUCAACCUUGCAAGCCUUAACAAUGUGAACUCCGCCCUCAAAGCCAUUCUUAAAUUUUCCUAAGCCUCGCCCACCAGCCAAAAUUUGGCUCUUAACCACCAACUCACUUUCAUUAGGAAAUACUUCUUGAAUUGCCUUUCUGACCUCAUCAACAGACGAAACAGCUACUCCCUUUGGGACAUUGAUACCAUACUUGCUCAUCAAAUCAGCUCCCUGAUACUCAUGGAUGUUGAGACGGCGGAGUUGCUGCUGCUGCCAAUUUCCGGCGACAGAGAGGGAGCGAGAAACCAGCUUGUUUAGCAAUCCUCUCAUUAUGCUCCUUCUCACCGAAACUUCCAACCCUAGAUAUGGAAAUAUCACAGAACGAAAGAGAAGAAUGAGAGAGGUGAAAGGAGAGCACUACCGGAAUCAUAAG